AUGAAUGCAGAAUUAUUCAGCUAUACAGCUUAUCCGAGAAUUCUGGAAUCAGAUCAUUUUGGUGGUACAAUGGUGCCAUUUUCUACAAUACAUUUACAGUGUCAAUUUCUCCAUGAUUCAGGGAAGCUUGUACGUAGUUUCAAGGAGCAUGGAGGCAAGCAAAUAUUUACCUAUUUUGCUUCAAAUUUACAGACACCCGAUCGUCAUGCUCCGAUGCUGAAGAUGAACAUCAGGAACUCGUGGAGUGUGAAAUCAGGUUUUCUCCUCCACGGAAUUGAAGUAAUCCUGGAGCCACCUGACAUGCACCUCCAGCCCGGCUUCCCGGAGGCUGUUGAGGACGAUCAUGUACAGCCUCCUGUCCAGCUUGGUGCCCUGCAGCUUCAUGUCCCUCAGCAGCUGGAUGAGGUCGUUGAAGCGGCUGGUCUUGCAGAACACCCCCACCAUGAGCCCGGCCAGGGUCUUGUCCACCGUCCCCCCCGUCUCCCUGAACUCCUGGUAGUAGUCCAUGCACCGGUCCAGCUCCCCCGACCGGUUGAACGCGCCGACGAUGGCCGUGUAGCUCACCCGGUCGGGCUGCACCUUGCGCCGCAUCAUCUCCUUCCAGAUCUUCUCGGCCUGCCUCGAGUCCCCGAGCUUGCCGCGCAUGUCCAGGAGCGAGUUGUACACCCACACGUUGGGCUCGCAACCCUUCUGCUUCAUCAGCGCCAGCAGCCUCGUGGCGUCCGACGCCCUCCGGAUCUGCCCGUACAUGGAGAUCAUGUUGCCGUACGCCACCACGCACUUGUCGAAGCCCCGGUCGAUCAUCUCCGAGAAGACGGACUCCGCCCUGUCGCUCCGCCCCAGCCGGCAGUACACGUUGAUCGCCGACGCGUAGGUGACCUGCCCGGGCUCGCACCCCAUGGCCACCAGCUUGUCGUACGCUCUGAUGGCAGGCUUCAGGCCUCUCCUCUUCACGAAGCCGUUGACGAUCGUGGAGAGGACGCAGUCGGUGACCCUCAGGCCGAUGUCCCGCAUGUCCUUGGCCACGCCGAGCGUGUCCUCCAGUAG
rnacentral:rRNA from 1 species